GUGUGUGAGAGAGGGCGAAAGAAAACGCGUCGUUCCUAAGCAGUUCUUUUUUCCCAACGCAACUUCCUCUCCUUCUUUCCCAUCCCGACCGGCGGCUAGGGUUCCGCCGCCGCCGCCACAGCCACCGGCGCCAUUCCUGCUCGUCCAUCACUGGCCACUGGAGAAGGUGGGCGCCCUCACCGCCGCCGUCGCCGCCUCCGACAUCGACCUCGACCUCGACCUCGACCGUGUCUGCGGCAGCGGCAGGGACCUCCGCCCGUAGGUCUCCUUCUCGCCAAGCGAGCGCUCGGGACGAACAGGAUCUCAAUCUCGAGCGGGGGACAGACGCGGCCACGGGCAGCCGCGCGGGACGCCUCUGCAUCGUCGGCGGCGGAAUUAGGGGAGCAGCAGGCGGCGAUUCUGGUGGUGGAAACAUUGGGUGUCCUCGGCCAGUGCUGGUUGUCCUCGCUGGCAACCUCGCCGGCUCCAACCCGCCCGUAGGCACUAAAAGAGUGCAGGUCGAGAUGAUGGUGCUGAGCACGGAUGGGAAUGGUGAGAUGCGGACGUGCGUGCUGCAGCCCAGCAAUUUGUCAGGCCAGGCAAUUCAAGCUUGGUGAGGUUCGUUGCUGGAUAUGCAAUGUCUCAAUUGGGCAAGGUAUUCGAAGCAGCCGUUUGCUCAUUACUGUAUUACUAAAAUGAACCCUGAGCCUGCACCCGAGUGACCUUAACUACUAAGGAGUUUUUUCUUAAGGAUUUGGCAAUGAAAUCUGAUGAUAGUGUUGUAUCUCAUGCUGCACAUUUGAUGGUUGGCAUGCUAGCUGGGAGUCUAGCUCACGUAACAUCCAAUGAGCGAUCAGAAUCUGAAGGUGAGGGGGUUGCAAAGGAGGAAAUGAGAGGAGUAGAAAAUUAAGGAGGCGAAUCAAAGGAUCUGUACCGGAGGGGAGGACAUGAGGCCCAUAUAUGAUGGCUUGUACUGGUAAAGCAAGUUGACAGGCAGCAACAUGAGCACCAAAGGACAUCAUCACCAUCCGAGUGCCGUAGCUGCUAUCGCUUGAUGUGAGUAUUUUUGCCCCAAGUGAGAUUAUGAUAUCAUGCAUCCUCUUUCCUAUUUAUUGCUAAUAUCAGCACAAUGCUUUGGUCCUUUGUUAAUGAUGAAAUCUCUUCACGUUUUAUUUGUUCUGCUUAUAUACCUUGCAAUCAUUAUGAUGGUAAGUAGCCAAUGGUAUAGUGUUGCUUCUCUUACUAUGCCAUCAGCCAUUUUUGGACUUCUUAACUUUGUUGCCAAAGGUAUACGUAGGCCUUAAAUAUACACAUUAUAGCAGAAGUAUGGGAUGUUCUGUUAGUUAUUUGGUUUAUGUCAAGCUAUGUGUCGGCCUUCUCCUUCUGCUUCUUCCACAAGCAUAAUUUUUGCUUGCACAUUAUAAUUACCAAAUGCAUAAUUUUUCCUUGCAGGCUAAAUUCUGUCAGGUUACUUAGAUCUAUUUGAAGCUACAUUUCCAUUAUUUUUCCUGUUCCCACUAAAGCGGUUUCAAAGGAAAUAGAGCGAAUUGACCAACUUUUCUAUACAUAUGCUGAUAGCUCAUCUAGCAUGAAGUUACACUUGUCUGCCAUUAUUUUUUAUGUAUACUCAAGGUAGCCAUCCUUCCAUUUAGAAAUUCUACAUAUACUCUCCAAUUAGGGAUAUCAUGCAUGGUAAAAAUAAGAGUCGUUUUAUACAAAUAAUUGUAAAUAGUAAUUUAACAGUUUUCAAUGCUUAUGUAAUCCCAUUCAUGAAAAUGUAUAUUGUAGUUGAUGCAUAUCAUUUCGAUGCAGCUAAAUGUUAGCUUCAAACAACUCCCAUCAUGCGAGCAGGUGUAAGAGACUUCUUGAUUGGGUAGUUUAGGUUGAACUUUGGUGCAGAAGUAAGAGUGUUAAUUAUGUUACCUCCCU